AAAAUCAUGAUGCCCCCUAAUAGUAGGCUACUGAAUAUAAGAUGUGGGAUAAUAUAAGAAUGGGACAUUUUAUCCAAGUCAUCUCAAUGGUAAAAAGUGUCCCAAUCACCCUGAACUGGAGCUCUAAAAUAAUGUUAUUGACUUCAACUGAUGAAUGCAGCCAAAGAAAAGAUGAAGAAUGGAAAAGCACUUUGCUGGCAAAGAAAUUGGAAAAUAACACAGGUUACGCGCAUGUAUCCAUGGCAACGCUCGGCUGCGUCGACAGUUAACGGUCCUGCCGGUGAUUUUCUCAGAUGAGGCCUUGAGUUUUCUCUUUCGUCGGUCGAAAAGGUUAGAAGCCAUCGAAAAAACUGCCAUCGGACUACCACAGCUGACAACGAGAGACGCGCGUGCACAACUGCAUAACACACACACACACACACACACGGAAAGAGCACAACAAUUAUGAAACUGCUCAUUUAUUAUAAAUAAAUAAAUGUAUUUUUCUCCUUACAACGUGUUUGUGUUCUUUUGUUAAC